GUCGAAAGAGUAUUAAUAAGGAGUCAAAAUAAGCUUAACAUAUUGAUAGGUUAUGAAGGUCGUUAUCGAGACUAGAGCAUACCCGCGAAUUCGCAGGUCCGUACCUGAUUUUUAAAAAGAACAUACGCUUUAUUUUUAACCUGGAUGCUUAGACGUCAUAUUGUUGUUUGGUGAAAUCAAGCUGAUAAUCAGGUGCACAGUAAUGCCCAAUGACGAAGUCCAUGAGUAGCUUGUAGCCAUUCAUACAAUGUAAACAUAUAAACUUUACACAUGAUUUUCAACCUGCAUACCGGGAUUUGUAUGUAAUAAUUGCCGCAGUACAUUUAGUUUGACCUAAGUCUUUGUAACAUUAUCCUGGCUACAAACAAGUAUUUUAUUUUACUCUUAAAUUCAGUGCAUGUAGCAGUGUAAAAUAUAUAUCAACAAUUUUCCUACUUUCGAAGUUAACACAAUGAUCAUUGCGACACCAUGGAUUCAGUUUUCAUUCCGUACCAAUACUUAGAACUAAUAUCAAUACUAUACAGCAAUAUAUAAUCGUUAUGUAAUCGAUAAAAAAUAACGACAACACGUAAUAAAAUCCUGGGUUGAGUUCAAUAUCGUAGCGGCUACGUAGCUGCUAUCAAUAUCUAUGUAAACAACUAGUCUAUAGCUGCAUGUUCAAUCGUCAAGAUCUACGUAGCACUACGUAGCAGCUACGAUAUUGAACUCAACCCUGACUCAGAAGUGCAUUUGUGGAUUCUAUUUCCUCAUGAACGACCAAAAGACGAAUAUUUGAAGGCCAAUAGUUUAUAAGACAAUAACAAUUUAAAAAAAGUCAAGGAGUAAACAAAGACUCAAAAACUCUAAGACAUAAGAGCUGCAAUAAAUGAUUUAAAGAUGAUUGUUCAGACUGUACGUUUAAUAAUUUCAUCUGCCGACAUGAUUGCAGAUAAAAAAAAAGUCGUAAAUAAAAAAUACUAAAAACAAAUAUAAGGGAAUACACGUGCAUUUAAUAAUUUAAUGCCUUAACGUACAGUAAAAAAUAUAUCAAUUCUCAACCCUAACAUACUUUUUGGCUUAAUGCGAGUUGAUUAAAUUGAUGCACUUAAUAAAUUUGUAAAAUCAAAGUUACAAAGGGGUAGUGAAAAAUUCAUUAUACCAGAAAUGAGCAUUUUAGAUGUAAAUAUGUAUUUAAAAAAACUUGACAAGUCGAAAGCAACUGGUUUAGAUGAUGUCGGACCAAUUAUUUUGAGUAUGUGCAGCAAUGUCAUUUUACCAGCUUUGACAUAUAUCUAAACAUCAAUUAUGGUAAAUUUCCAAGUAUUUUUAAAACUGCAAGAGUAUGCCAAAUUUUUAAAAGUGGCAAUGCCUGUAAUCCUGAUAAUUAUAGACCAAUAGCAGUUUUGGCUUGUCUAUCUAAAAUCAUAGAACGACAUAUAGCUAAUAGUUUGUAUAUAUUUUUAAAUAGUAAUGACCUUCUUAAUACUACACAGUCAGGUUUCAGAACUAAACAUUCGUAUACUACUGCACAUACUAAAUUAGUAGAUGAAUGGUUAGCAAAAAAAAGAUAAUGGAGAGAUAAAUGGAGUUAUAUUUUUAGAUUUAAAGAAAGCUUUUGAUCUGGUUAAUCAUAUAAUUUUAUUGAAAAAACUUGAAUAUUAUAAUGUUUCUAAUAGUACACUUGACUGGUUUAAGUCAUACUUGUUUGAACGAAGCCAACAAGUUAAGGUCAAUAACGUCAUGUCUAAUACUAAAUGCAGAAAAACUGGUGUAUCACAAGGUUCUAUCCUGGGCCCUUUGUUAUUUAUUUUAUAUAUCAAUGAUUUACCACUUAAUAUAGAACAUUCAUUAAUAGAUUUAUAUGCAGACGAUUCUACAUUACAUUGUAAAGGUAAUGAUGUAAUUCAGUUAGCUUCUAACCUUCAAAAUGAUAUUCAUGUAAUUGAAAACUGGUGCUCGCAAAAUUGUAUGAAAUUAAAUGCCAAAAAAGAGUAAAUCAAUGAUUAUUGGUUCAAAACAAUGGCUUUGUUUAACUGGAAACAGUUUUGAUAUCAAUAUUUCAAAUGAACAAAUAGAAAAUGUAGAUUGUGAAAAACUACUUGGUUUAUAUAUUGACAAAAACUUUAAUUGGAGUCAGCAAAAAGAUAAAAUGUCAAUUACUAUAUCAAAUAGAAUCAACUUAUUACAAAAGAUAAGAAAAUAUUUACCUAUGCAUAUACGUAUUAUCUAUUUUAAUGCUUAUAUUCUGCCAUUAUUUGAUUAUUGUUGCAAUAUAUGGG
rnacentral:lncRNA from 1 species